rnacentral:rRNA from 1 species
AUGAACGCUUGCGGCGUGCCUAAUACAUGCAAGUCGAGCGAACAGACGAGGAGCUUGCUCCUCUGACGUUAGCGGCGGACGGGUGAGUAACACGUGGAUAACCUACCUAUAAGACUGGGAUAACUUCGGGAAACCGGAGCUAAUACCGGAUAAUAUAUUGAACCGCAUGGUUCAAUAGUGAAAGACGGUUUUGCUGUCACUUAUAGAUGGAUCCGCGCCGCAUUAGCUAGUUGGUAAGGUAACGGCUUACCAAGGCAACGAUGCGUAGCCGACCUGAGAGGGUGAUCGGCCACACUGGAACUGAGACACGGUCCAGACUCCUACGGGAGGCAGCAGUAGGGAAUCUUCCGCAAUGGGCGAAAGCCUGACGGAGCAACGCCGCGUGAGUGAUGAAGGUCUUCGGAUCGUAAAACUCUGUUAUUAGGGAAGAACAAAUGUGUAAGUAACUAUGCACGUCUUGACGGUACCUAAUCAGAAAGCCACGGCUAACUACGUG